rnacentral:rRNA from 1 species
UACAGAGGGGGCAAGCGUUGUUCGGAAUUACUGGGCGUAAAGGGCGCGUAGGCGGCCUGCUAAGUCGAACGUGAAAUCCCUGGGCUCAACCCAGGAACUGCGUCCGAUACUGGUUGGCUUGAAUCCGGGAGAGGGAUGCGGAAUUCCAGGUGUAGCGGUGAAAUGCGUAGAUAUCAGGAGGAACACCGGUGGCGAAGGCGGGUCUCUGGGCCGAUACUGACGCUGAGGAGCGAAAGCGUGGGGAGCAAACAGG